rnacentral:rRNA from 1 species
CCUACGGGAGGCAGCAGUGAGGAAUAUUGGUCAAUGGACGAGAGUCUGAACCAGCCAAGUAGCGUGAAGGAUGACUGCCCUAUGGGUUGUAAACUUCUUUUAUAUGGGAAUAAAAUGUUCCACGUGUGGGAUUUUGUAUGUACCAUAUGAAUAAGGAUCGGCUAACUCGGUGCCAGCAGCCGCGGUACUACGGAGGAUCCGAGCGUUAUCCGGAUUUAUUGGGUGUAAAGGGAGCGUAGGUGGAUUGUUAAGUCAGUUGUGAAAGUUUGCGGCUCAACCGUAAAAGUGCAGUUGAAACUGGCAGUCUUGAGUACAGUAGAGGUGGGCGGAAUUCGUGGUGUAGCGGUGAAAUGCUUAGAGAUCACGAAGAACUCCGAUGGCGAAGGCAGUUCACUGGACUGCAACUGACACUGAGGCGCGAAAGUGUGGGUAUCAAACAGGAUUAGAUACCCGUGUAGUC